CCUACGGGGGGCAGCAGUGGGGAAUAUUGGACAAUGGGGGCAACCCUGAUCCAGCCAUGCCGCGUGUGUGAAGAAGGCCCUCGGGUUGUAAAGCACUUUCAGUGAGGAAGAACGCCUGGUGGUUAACACCCAUCAGGAAAGACAUCACUCACAGAAGAAGCACCGGCUAACUCCGUGCCAGCAGCCGCGGUAAUACGGAGGGUGCGAGCGUUAAUCGGAAUUACUGGGCGUAAAGCGCGCGUAGGUGGCUUGAUAAGCCGGUUGUGAAAGCCCCGGGCUCAACCUGGGAACGGCAUCCGGAACUGUCAAGCUAGAGUGCAGGAGAGGAAGGUAGAAUUCCCGGUGUAGCGGUGAAAUGCGUAGAGAUCGGGAGGAAUACCAGUGGCGAAGGCGGCCUUCUGGACUGACACUGACACUGAGGUGCGAAAGCGUGGGUAGCAAACAGGAUUAGAUACCCUUGUAGUC
rnacentral:rRNA from 1 species